rnacentral:rRNA from 1 species
GUAAAGCCGCGAAUGGCUCGGUAUAACAGCUACGGUUUAUUAGAUGUUUGUUAUCUACUUGGAUAACUGUGGUAAUUCUAGAGCUAAUACAUGCAAGAAAGCUCGGACCUUCGGGAAAGAGCGCAUUUAUUAGAUCAAAACCAAUCGGGCUUUUGCUCGUGUUUUGGUGACUCUGAAUAACUCAGUUGAUCGCACAGUCUCGCACUGGCGACGUAUCUUUCAAAUGUCUGCCUUAUCAACUUUCGAUGGUAGGUUAUAUGCCUACCAUGGUUAUAACGGGUAACGGAGAAUAAGGGUUCGACUCCGGAGAGGGAGCCUGAGAAACGGCUACCACAUCCAAGGAAGGCAGCAGGCGCGCAAAUUACCCAAUCCCAGUACGGGGAGGUAGUGACGAAAAAUAACGAGAUAGUCCACUUUGUGGCCUGUCAUCGGAAUGGGUACAAUUUAAAUCCUUUAACGAGGAUCUAUUAGAGGGCAAGUCUGGUGCCAGCAGCCGCGGUAAUUCCAGCUCUAAUAGCGUAUAUUAAAGUUGUUGUGGUUAAAACGCCCGUAGUUGAUUUUUCGACUGUGAAGGUCAGUAGCCUGUAUGGGUUUCACUGUCCCUUCGAGUCUGAAUUUGAGUUUUCUGUUGAUGCUCUUUACCGGGUGUCAUCAGUGACUUGAACGUUUACUUUGAAAAAAUUAGAGUGCUUAAAGCAAGCUAUAUGCUUGAAUAAAGUGCAUGGGAUAAUGGAAUAGGACUUUGGUCUUAUUUUGUUGGUUUUUGAGAUUGAAGUAAUGAUUAAGAGGAACAGACGGGGGCAUUCGUAUUGUUGCGUUAGAGGUGAAAUUCUUGGAUCGCAGCAAGACGAACAACUGCGAAAGCAUUUGCCAAGAAUGUUUUCAUUAAUCAAGGACGAAAGUUAGAGGUUCGAAGGCGAUCAGAUACCGCCCUAGUUCUAACCGUAAACGAUGCCAACUAGCCAUUCGCCGGUGUUAAUAUAUGACUCGGCGGGCAGCUUCCGGGAAACCAAAGUUUUCUGGUUCCGGGGGAAGUAUGGUUGCAAAGCUUAAACUUAAAGGAAUUGACGGAAGGGCACCACCAGGAGUGGAGCCUGCGGCUUAAUUUGACUCAACACGGGAAAACUCACCCGGCCAAGACACAAUAAGGAUUGACAGAUUGAUAGCUCUUUCUCGAUUUUGUGGGUGGUGGUGCAUGGCCGUUCUUAGUUGGUGGAGCGAUUUGUCUGGUUAAUUCCGAUAACGAACGAGACUCUAGCCUAUUAAAUAGACGCGAUAUUUGUUUGUAUUACGUCCUUCUUAGAGGGACAAGCAGCGUUUAGCUGCACGAGAUUGAGCAAUAACAGGUCUGUGAUGCCCUUAGAUGUCCGGGGCUGCACGCGCGCUACAAUGAAAGUAGCAAAGUGCUUGAAAGCCAUGUCUGGAAAGACUUGGGAAACAUGAAUCAUUUUCGUGCUUGGGACAGGGAAUUGCAAUUAUUUCCCUUGAACGAGGAAUUUCUAGUAAGCGUGAGUCAUAAGCUCGCGUUGAUUACGUCCCUGCCCUUUGUACACACCGCCCGUCGCUACUACCGAUUGGAAGAUUCGAUGAGAACUUUGGACUGGGCGUGAAGUGGCCUAAAAACCGCUACACUGCCUGGAAAGAUGUUCAAAUCGUAUCUUCUAGAGGAAGUAAAA